GCUCCGGUGGUGUAGAGGUUCUACUGCACAAUCCGGUCAAGCAUAGCGGCCUUUCGAGUCGCUGAUCCCGGGUUCAAAUCCCGGCCGGAGCA
rnacentral:tRNA from 1 species